GACAGAGGUCCCGAGCGUUAGGCGGAAUCACUGGGCUUAAAGCGUGUGUAGGCGGACUUCUAAGUACCUUGUGAAAUCCCCCGGCUUAACCGUGGAACUGCUUGGUAUACUGGUUGUCUUGGGCCAUCUAGGGGCUACUGGAACAAACGGUGGAGCGGUGAAAUGCGUAGAUAUCGUUUGGAACGCCAAUGGUGAAAACAAGUAGCUGGGGAUGUGCCGACGCUGAGACACGAAAGCCAGGGGAGCGAACGGG
rnacentral:rRNA from 1 species